GGAACGNUGCCCAGUCGUGGGGGAUAACUACUCGAANCNUUAGNGUAAUACCGCAUACGAUCUGAGGAUGAAAGCGGGGGACCUUCGGGCCUCGCGCGAUUGGAGCGGCCGAUGGCNGAUUAGGUAGUUGGUGGGAUAAAAGCUUACCNAGCCGACGAUCUGUAGCUGGUCUGAGAGGACGACCAGCCACACUGGGACUGAGACACGGCCCAGACUCCUACGGGAGGCAGCAGUGGGGAAUUUUGGACAAUGGGCGAAAGCCUGAUCCAGCAAUGCCGCGUGCAGGAUGAAGGCCUUCNGGUUGUAAACUGCUUUUG
rnacentral:rRNA from 1 species